AUGAAUGAAUGUAAACUACAUUUAAUGUCUUUCUACUAUAUGCCAGAGAAAACACAGCAAAUAUGCAAAAACUUAAUCAUCUCUAGGAAUUGGAAAGAUGUCCUGAAUUUGACUUUCUUAUAUCACCUUGGGUCACAGAGGUGCAGGUGCUUCAUCUUAAAUGUGAUCAUUCAAAUAAUAAAUGGUAAAAAUCAUGUAAUUCAGGCCUUCUUUUCAUAGAAGAGCAAAUUGAAACCCCCGCUAGAACAGCAGCUUGCUCAGGGAUCCAGAAUUAGUCAGUUGGGAAUCUGGAACUCCAGCCCCAACCCCCCAGACUGUCAGGAACAUUCCCCACUCCGCUACUCUGUAACUAAGUUCUGCAGAUGGUCAUCACUCAAGGGGGAAAAAAGAGCACUCAUUCUGGAAAAUUAAAAAAUCUUUAAUUAGGGAGCGCAUAGAUUCUGUUCUGUUGAGAUCAUAUCUAUUGCUUUUCAAAUGUACCCGGGAUUUGUUUCAAUGAGGUAUGGUAAGACACGCAGACAUGGAAAUGAACGUCAUGAAGGAGGAAGAAGAGUAUCCUCGCAGAUUCCCUAGAAAAGGAGGUCUCCUACCCAGGGCCACCUGGGAAAGCGGCAGGAGCGGCAAGGAGAAAACCUGGGCAAAACCUUCGUUGUCGGGUUUCGUGGGCAAGAAUGGGCAAGGCAGGAAUGGUGACAGAAAAACUAUAAAACAAGAAAAGUAAAAAAGACAUAAAGACGAAGCAAUAUAAAAUAUGAAAGAAAUAUGAGACAUGGAGUAUGGAUUGAGGAGCUCCAACAUGGAUUUGAUAGGAUUCCCAGAAGAAAAAAUGGAAACAUGGAGAAGAUAGAGAAGAAAUGUAGAGAGAAUAAAUAAGAUCUAAUAUGCCCUGGAUCUGUUUUUUGGAGAAGCAACAAUACAAAUUCCAGUACUAUAAACAGAGGCCCUGCUAAUGAGUUUUAUAUUUAUAAAUGUACAAAAUCCAUGUCAUCUAUCACUUUAGGGGCAUUUGAAAUUAUUAAUAUGAAGGCUCACAAAGAAUCAUCUGUGGACGUCUGAUGGAGGAAACUGGUGAUUUUUCUCUAAUGCUAUCAGCCUGGUAGCAUUGAAAAUAGGAUGAUUUUCUACCUAUCUUGGAGAGUUCUACUGACUUCCAAUCACACUAGAAAAUAACCCACGUUAUUAAGGACUUCAUCUGGGACUCUCCCUUCAGCCUGGCCAGGCUCUGCUAACUUCACUUUCCUAAAUUAAACUCCAUCCCUCUGGCUCGGCUGCAUCUAUCCCCUCACUCAGCUUCCUGUUGAAUGACAACUGAUGUUUCUCCAGGCUCUGGCUUCUCCUUAUCUAAAGAACCCGUGCUUUUUCUUGCAACUAAGAGAACUUACAUAUAUUUUCAUUUAGUGAAAUUAAUACACCAGUAUGAUUUCAUUUGGUUCUCGAUGUGCCCAAACAUGCAAAGGAUUGUGUGCUAGAAACGCUGAGAAUUUACAAAGGAUUUUAAGCUAUCCUGACUCAUGUUCUGAAGGAAUUUACAAUCUAACUGAGGAGCAAAGAUAGGACAUUAAUUCAGCUCUAGAAAACUAGAGCUACGUGGCAAUAGAUAAGUGCCAGAGGAGUGGUGAAACUAUUAUUAUUAACUGUUUUAGAGCCCACCAUGAGUAGAAUUAUCAAGUUUUUUGUCCUAUUGAACAUUUACCAUGUUUAUAUCUUAAUGAUGAUUUCACUGAUUGGCUGAUGCUUAUUCUAAGCUUGAAUAGCCAAGGAUGUAGGUGAUUAGGACAUAUAUUUGGUAAUUUUAUUAUAAUUUAUACCUAAGAUCUGAAAAGUGAGAUGGAAGAGGCAAUACAUAAAUUGCAUCCCCCAAAAGUGCUAAAAUAGUUUGCGUGCGUGUUUUGUUUUCUGGAUAACGGUGGCCUAGACCGUAAAGUUACCUCCAACAUUAAGCAUCCCGGUUUCAAGCACAUAUGGUUCCAGGCAGAGUUGACUUCCUGUUUUUCAUUAUUGACAUGGAAAGAGCACUGGCUCUGUCUCCUCCCGCAGGGCCAAUGUCAGCAUAUUCCAGAGGUGAUUCAUUUCUGUCACCUGCAUCAUAAUCAGCCUCAGCAUCCUAUCACGUAAUGCAUCACUGUCAGACCCCCUGACUCCUUGAUAUCUCUGUCCCUGCGAGAGGCCUGGAGAUCAAAUCACACCUGAUAGCGAAACCCAGGGCCAGAAUACCAGGCCUGAGGAAGGGAAGCAGGAGGGGCACAUUUCUGUAUGCUAACUUUAUGCAACCUCCCUGACAGCCCUUGAUCAUGUUGCAGUUUUCCAAGGAGCACCUUAAUUUAUUUGAUGUUAAUCACUUUGUUGGGUCCUGCAACAGAAUCAGUCAACUGUCAAGUGCCACCACUUCUUGUGCUGCCUCUUUCCUGCCUUUACCGAGGCCCCAGGCUUUAUCAAUGCCCAGGUUGUCUCAGGAGGCCCUGGUCAUCAUCUCACAGGGACUCCACUCUCCUGUAACAUCUCUGUCACGUGGUUCAAACCCAACGUGCUUGCUGAGAUGAUUUUGGCAUUUGUUACUGACAUAAUAAAUACCUCAAAAACCAUUUCAGCUUAGCUAUUCUUCAACUCCAGUCAAUGCAAAUAAUGCCCCAAACCAACGCAAAGAAUUCUUUGGGAUAUUUUUUUUUUCCUUUUUUUCUUUUAGCAUAUUAUGGGGAUACAAAUGUUUAGGAUAUUAAGACAUUUGCCAACUCAACCCAUUAUGGAGUUAAUUUUUCCCAACUAUGCAAACCAUCAUGCCCUACGAGGUCCUACUAAUGAGUUUUAUAUUUAUAAAUGUACAAAAUCAAUGUCAUCUAUCACUUUGGGGGCAUUUGAAAUUAUUAAUAUGAAGGCUCACAAAGAAUCAUCUGUGGAUUUGUGAUCAAGGAAACUGAUGAUUUUUUCUCUAAUGCUAUCAGCCUGGUGGCAUUGAAAAUAGGACGAUUUUCUACCUAUCUUGGAGAGUUCUACUGACUUCCAAUUACACUGGAAAAUAACCCAUGUUAUUAAGGCCUUCAUCUGGGACCUUAAAGUUUGUACCUUAAAGUUUCUCCCUACCUUAAAGUUUCUUUUUUUUUGUUCCCGCCAAGUUGCCUUACCUUUUCUAUUCUCUAUCUUCACACUUUUACUUGAACAGAGACAGCACUAAAAUAGACUUCUGCUACUUGGGCUGGCUGUAGAGAACACAGACUAACAUUCUGAGCCUCUUCUUCGAAGACAGUCUGCUCUAUAAUAUGCAGAUUUACUGUUCUGCAUAUGUUGAAAAUGAAGCUACACACCCAUUGGCAAUAGGGCAUAGACUCUGAGUUGCUGACAGAUUUGAAAAAUAAUCCAUUGUUAUGUAUCCUCAUUUGCUCCACAAAGGACAAAUACAAGCCAUUUGGCUGGUGUUAGAGGUGGACCAAACAUACCACAAAGUCAGCCAGCAUGUAUCAUGAUUCUCGGUUUGGCCCCAGUGCUAUACUCUCACCAGCUGAGUCAAUGGCCUUAGGCACACAUUUGCAUUCAAUGAUAAUGACAGACUCCUGUGUUAUUGUGGUUGAAAGGGAUUCCAGAGAUCAUUUACUCCAAUUCCCCCAUUUUAUAGCUUCACAUGUAAAGAACAGAGAGAUUAAGGGACUUGCCCAAGGCCACCCAGCUUUGCAAGUUUGUAUAUUUAAAAUACUAUUUUAGAAAUUCCUUUCCUAUGCUUUAUCCCUCCUUGACUUUGAAAUUCCCGGAGAGUACUUCCUGAAGGGUGUUCAGAGGAAGACUCCUGGAAACAUGUGGAACAUUCUUAACACAACAGAAACUCUGACUUCCGGUUUCUAUGUCUGCUCAAGAAGGGCAACUGGAGAAGAGGAAAAAUGGAAGAGGAAGGGAACUUUUAUUGAGCAUCUAUUAGGCGCAGGUGCAGUCUACAGGCCAAUAAGAGGUAGCAUUUAUUGAGGGCUCCCUCAACUUUAUGACAAAGAAUUUUUUUUUAUUAUUCCCAUUUAUUUUACAGACAAGGAAGUCAUGGCACAGCCACUGAGCUAACGAGUGGUGUGGCAGAAGGCACACCAAAGCACUGCAUUACCUUGUGCACGGGAAAUCUCAUCAUCACUCUAUGGAGCAGAUGUUAUUGUUCCAAAUUUACAGAUGAGGGAACCAAAGCUCAUAGGGAUUGUGUCACUAAAGACAGGGAGGUGACAGCAGCAGGGCAUGAAGUCUAGUCAAGCUCUUUUCAGUCUGACAUGCAAUUCCACGAAAUAUUGAUCAAAAAAUGAUGCCUUAGGCAUUUUCACCCUGAUCCGGAGAAGCUGAGUUGAAAUCAUCUUAGCAAAGUAACUAAUAAAAAGAGUGGAUGAUUCAGCAAUAUAUUUUAACUUUUCCUUCCUUUCUCCCUAUCAUGAAGGAGAGCGGAUUUUAGCUAGGAUAUUGGGGCUGGGAAACUUCCCCCCACACAGGGGAUGAAGUGUGGACCAUGACACUCCUUCCCAGAUGCCUCCUGUAGCUUCCAGCACAAAGGCUGCUCAACAAGCAUGUGGCAAAUGAGAUUAUAAUGCCAGCCUGGCAUACCACUGCCCUGCACUCUCCGUGGAGGGUUGGAUCUACUUCCUUAUCUGAUUCAUGAAAGAAAUUUCCUGUGGGGCAUUAUCUCUGAGGAAGCCCUCUGUCUGUUGGUGGUGGUGAAUUUGAAGGCAGCUGUGCCAUAGGAUGGCAUGAGAACAAAGAUUUAAUCUGAAUUCACUCAAGAAGUACAGCUUCAGGGUGUGAAUCCCAGCUCUGGCAGGGGGUUGAGCAAACAGUAACAAUAUCACUGUGGUUUUACACUUAAGAUGUGUAACUUGUCAGAGCAGUGAAGUCUCUUAUGAAAUGUGUGUUAGGAUGAUGUUGUUCAGGCAGAAGGCUGUUCAACAGUACACUUCCCUGAAGACAUUUUUCAAUUACAGAUGCAUUGCAAUUAGAGAUGGAAAAAGGCUGUAUGGGGUCAUCAAGUUUAUAUUGUCUGGCAGGUCGGACACAGCCUGGGAUUUUGUUUCAUGUAAAAUGCCUUCAAAAAUCUAGCUUAUGUGAUUUCAUGUGGGAGGCUUGUCUGUAAUCUUAUAAUGCAAAAAUUAUUUCCAACUGAUAAUCACUUGAAUUUUAACUUAUUUUCACUGCUUUUUUCCAAGUGUUAUUUAUUCACUAAUUUUAUCAAAUCAUCUUCCUACUUUGAUUCCUAGGAUGAGAUGAGAGAAUGUUUUUUCCCGUAAUGACCCUAAAAGAUCACCUAUUUAGGGUCACCUAAUCACCCUAAAAGAUAGCCCAAGUCACUUAUUUAUAAAAAUGAUGACGGAGGCUCAAAGAGGCUGAUUUAGGGCUUUUACCUGCUUCCCAAUCCGUUACCUUACUAGGCCUUUCACCUGAGUCUCUAAUCUAUUAUCUUCUCAUUAUAUCCACCACCAUUUUACAGAUUGUGAGUCUACACUGUUAGACGUAGGAUGGGAUUCCUUUAUAAUUAUGGUGCCAGAAAAAAAUACUUAACAGCUGAAACAGCUGUUUACAUUUAUUAUAUUUUGUGAAACAGAAUUUGAUCAGUGCUAGAUCUCAUGCCAUAGAACAAUGAUUAGUGUUUUAUAGGGUGCAAUUAAACUCAACACAUUAUUUUUCUUGCAAAGACAUCUGCAUAAAAAGCAACAUUCUCAAAACAAGUCAACAUUUAACAAGCUCAACAUCAACUACAAAUAUUUGGUCUUGAGGGCAAUAGAGCCUUCUUUUACAUUGUUAAAAUUUUACAUUGCUUGGUAAAAUAUUCUACCCAGUGUUUUGAUGCUAAAUGUAUAUUUGUUGUGGGUGACAGAAGAACAUUUAGAAGCCAGAUGCAGAAUAGUCACUUGCCAAAACACGGAUACUGUAUUUUGUUCUUAGUCAUUGUUAUGGACGGAAUCGUGUCCCUAAAGAAUCAUAUGUUGAUGUCCCAGCCCCCUCAUGAGACUGUAUUUGGAGAUGGUGGCCUUUAGGAAGGCAAUUAAGGUUCAAUGAGAUAACAGUGGGACCCUAAUGGAAAAGGGCUGGUGCUCUUACAAGAAACUCCAGAGAGCUCACUUUCUCUCUGCCAUGUGAGGACACAGGGAGAAGGGGGCUGUCUCUAUCCAAGUCAGGAGGAAAGCCCUCCCCAGAAACUGAGUCAGCUGGCACUUUGAUCUUAGAUUUCUACUCUUCAGAAUUGUAAGAAAAUACAUUUCUGUUGUUAAGCCACUCAGUCUGUGGUAUGUUUUUAAAGCAGCCUUAGCAAACUAGUACAGUUAUCAAGUCCCCCUUCUUGAAGUUGAGGACUUGAUGACACUUGGCAGGGGUGAGAAUACAUCCAAAAUGAGGAGGUUUUGACUGAGGUCUGGAUGGUGGGCCAGCAGUGGUAGGUUUUCUCAAUGCUGCAGAGGGUGUCAGCGAUGGCAGCAUGCCAUGGAACUGGCCCCAAAUCUCCCUGUUCCUCCAGCCCAUUCCAGCUUCCCUGUAGUCUCAGUAAUAGCAUUAGCAUUUUUUUUUCCUACAGAUUCAUACUUUGAGACCCAAAGGGAAUGGUAUCUAUGUGUUAAAACCCUCAAAUUUCUACAUCAUUGGUUUUACAAUGGUAUCAGGGGUCCUCAAACUUUUUAAACAGGGGGGGCCAGUUCA